AAUGAUCCUUCCGUAGGGGAACCUGCGGAGGGAUCAUUACACAAUAAACGCUUUUUUAUGCAGUUGCAAUCAGCGUCAGUACAACAAAUGUAAAUCAUUUACAACUUUCAACAACGGAUCUCUUGGUUCUGGCAUCGAUGAAGAACGCAGCGAAAUGCGAUACGUAGUGUGAAUUGCAGAAUUCAGUGAAUCAUCGAAUCUUUGAACGCACAUUGCGCCCUUUGGUAUUCCAAAGGGCAUGCCUGUUCGAGCGUCAUUUGUACCCUCAAGCUUUGCUUGGUGUUGGGCGUUUUGUCUUUGGUUGCCAAAGACUCGCCUUAAAACGAUUGGCAGCCGGCCUACUGGUUUCGCAGCGCAGCACAUUUUUGCGCUUGCAAUCAGCAAAAGAGGACGGCACUCCAUCAAGACUCUUUAUCACUUUGACCUCGGAUCAGGUAGGAUACCCGCUGAACUUAAGCAUAUCAAUAAGCCGGAGGAA
rnacentral:rRNA from 1 species